ensembl:lncRNA
GGUCAGAAACUAAAAAAGAAUGCUUCAGAUUCCAAACAGAAGGGAGGAAAAUAGUGCAAGAAUGAACAGAGCAUAUAUUUUGAAGCAGGGUUGCCAAAGCUGGGCUGUAGAAGAAGAUGAAGUUUAUGGCUUCACCAGCAUUUUUGGAUCAAACUGUCCCUUGGAAAAUGGUGUCAUUUACAGAUACCCUGCCUUUCACCGUGCAGAACUGCACUCGCCAAGACCACUAUCGGCUCCGAAUUCCAGCUCCGAGAGGGAGCUGUGGCUGCUGCUAUAUCUAGGCUUCCAGAUUCUUCCUUCAGUUUGGCACCCUAGACAUAGGGUCCUCCUUUGUCCCCAGUCACUGUUUGGAACCCCAUAAUAGCGAUGGCUGGGGUCCCCUAGAGCCGCUGCAUACAGCUGUGCAGUCCGUGCACUGCACAAAGACACCCGAAGAAGGCAGCAGGUACCGACUGAAAUCCAGCUCGUGCUCACCAAGAUGAGUGCCUGACACUGUGCUGUGGACAGCCGCAAGAAGGUACCCUCUUUUGUUUUCUCUACAUGACAAAUAUGUAUAUACAUCUCUCUCUCUCUAUGAACAUAUAAUUACAUGAGAUUAUCAGCUGAGAC